UCUCUCUGUUCUAAAACGCGCUCUCUGCGCACCGGAGGUGUGCUUUGAUGUCUGCCUGACUGCGUGCACUGCUUGUUCACGUGAUGCGUUCGUGCUGCCGUGCGAAAUGGUUUUCAUCUGAGCCUGUGGUAGCUCGUGAGAUCUGGCUAUGUCGAUAGCUUUGUCCAGCGUUACCUCAGACCCAACAUUCAAAAGUUUCUCUCUCACUCGCGAAGAGCAAGUAGCUGCAUUUUCCCUCUUCUCCUCUGUCCUUCAGAGGACCCGUGAACAUUAGCUCCACAUGCUGUUUGAACUUACUCCAUGCACCGGAGGAACUGGGUAUAUCAGCAUAAACCACAGCCCCCUCCUGUACUCCCUGAUCACCCAUGACUGCGUGGCCAUGCACGUCUCCAACUCAAUCAAGACGACACAACAGUGGUAGGCCUGAUCACCAACGAGACCGCCUACAGGGAGGUGAGGGCCCUGGCGGAGUGGUGCCAGGAAAAUACCCUCUCCCUCAAAGUCAACAAACUGAAGGGGCUGGUCGUGGACUUCAGGAGACAGCAGAGAGAGCAGGCCCCAUCUAGUGUUCAUGCAUCUAACAGUCUAACUAUUUACCCCAUUGGCUUCUGUUUGAUCUUUAUUCACCUCUCCUGUCUGCACAGUCCUUUCAGCCUAUCCUUCUCUUAUUUGCUACGUGAGCGAGAGAGAGUGUGUGCGUGCAUGAGUGUGUGAUUCUUUGUGCCAGGGGUUAGGCACAGGUCGUUCCUCAACUGUAAACCCAUGCCAACUGUGGUGUAUGCAGCCAAGAGAUAGACACAUGACCACAUGGGGAUGGUAGUUCAGAGUGUACCAUUGUCCAAGAUACUUCAUCUUUUCAAAUCAAAGUUUAUUUGUCACGUGCACUGAAUACAACAGGUGUAGAACUUAGUGAAAUGCUUACUUACAGGC